GAUGAACGCUAGCGGCAGGCCUAAUACAUGCAAGUCGAACGGAUAUAUGUUUUUCGGAAUAUAUAUUAGUGGCGCGCGGGUGAGUAACACGUACAUAACUUGCCCUCAAGCGGGGGAUAGCCUUGGGAAACUGAGAGUAAUACCCCAUAGAAUUAUUGGACGGCAUCGUUUGAUAAUUAAAACUACGGUGCUUGGGGAUAGAUGUGCGUCUGAUUAGCUAGUUGGUGAGGUAACUGCUCACCAAGGCGACGAUCAGUAGGGGGCGUGAGAGCGUGGCCCCCCACACGGGUACUGAGACACGGACCCGACUCCUACGGGAGGCAGCAGUAAGGAAUAUUGGUCAAUGGAGGGAACUCUGAACCAGCCAUGCCGCGUGAAGGAUGACGGCCCUCUGGGUUGUAAACUUCUUUUGGAUGGGGCGAAAAAACGGGAUUUAUCCUGGACUGACGGUACCAUCAGAAUAAGCACCGGCUAACUCCGUG
rnacentral:rRNA from 1 species